rnacentral:snRNA from 14 species
CUACUUACCUGGCAGGGGAAACACCAUGGUCACUAAGGUGGUUUUCCUAGUUUCUGGGGAUAACUGCUUUUCUGGCAAAGGGUAGUGCCUGGGCAGAGGUAAUGUGUAGCUAAUCUCCCACUGUCAUUUCCAGUGGAAGAUGUUGGCUUUACGCCCACUUUGUGGAAAUGGGAAACUCUUCCCU